rnacentral:lncRNA from 1 species
GAAUGUAUAAUUGCUCUACAUUAUAUAUAUAUAUAUAUAUAUAGUACUAUGCUAUUGGAAGUAUAGAAUAUCUGAUCGAUGCUUCUGACUUUUUGACCCUUAGAUGUUGCCCUUUAAUUAUUUUUAGCCUUUGGAUUAAAACUAUUACCCUGUGGAGAGGAGCGUAAUUAUUCCAACCGUAUAAUUCUUUAUCAAGGGUCAAAAAAUCGAAAAUAUCAAAUCCUGUGUGUGUAUAUAUGUAUUGUUGUAUGGAAUGGAAUGUUAUUAAAUAUAGCAUCAGAGGGGAUAUAUGAUA